GGGGAGACUGAGCGCGAGCGAGCGAGGCGCGCGCGCACACAUACGCGCACACACAGCCGGGCUCGCUCCGAGAUCCCCGGCCACAACAAGCCCGCCGUGCAAUUUGGUCGCAAGGCAUCGGGAGACAAGAGUGGUUUGCAAAUUGUUCCAAGCCUCAAGACCCAGCUGUGCAGCGGAAAAAGAACGCCGCGGGUUAACAGAGUCCGGGGAGCAUCUGCGGCCAGCUCCUGCAGGACCCCCGGAAAUCUCCUGCCGCUGGUCCCCCCAGGUCACCGCCCGCACUUCUUGCUUCAUCAGAGGAGGAUCUGGGACGUGAGCGGCGACAGCAAGAGC
rnacentral:lncRNA from 1 species